rnacentral:lncRNA from 1 species
GGGGAUUGAAAUAAGAGGAAGAGCUGGCUCUUCUACAGUAAUGCUAGCAGGAAAAUAGGGAAUAACCAGCAAAUUGACUGGCAUGUCCAGGGAAGUGAGUCAUCCAGGAUCAAAAGCCAGAGAAGUCUCAAAAUACUAUGGAUUGUUAAAGUAGAAAACUGGAACCUCAUGGGGCCAUCUUAGAUCCUCAACAGGUCUGGGCUUGAUGUUCACCAGUUUUUCCUUAGCUCCGACUGUGGCUCCUCUCAGCGGACUCUGAUCCUGCUCUCUGCAGGGCUGCGUCUGCCCAUCCCAGGUAAACAUCCCUGGGUAAACUGUGGGGCCUUUCAACUGGAGCUCCACUCCUGU